CAAGAAGUUUCCUUGUGGUUUGCUAGAAGGAUCUAUGUUGUAGGACUAGAAUUGUCGUAGGUGUGUUGAUUUGGAAGGUUGGCGUUCUAAUUUUAGAACUCUUCAAUAUACCUAAGUGUUUUGGUUAAACGCUUUUUUCUCAACGUGAAUAUAUAUCUAACGAGUAACGAGUUGUUUAGUCAACAAAAAGCAGGGGAACAUUAAUAAUAC